GUGGGGAAUAUUGGACAAUGGGCGAAAGCCUGAUCCAGCCAUGCCGCGUGUGUGAAGAAGGUCUUCGGAUUGUAAAGCACUUUAAGUUGGGAGGAAGGGCAUUAACCUAAUACGUUAGUGUUUUGACGUUACCGACAGAAUAAGCACCGGCUAACUUCGUGCCAGCAGCCGCGGUAAUACGAAGGGUGCAAGCGUUAAUCGGAAUUACUGGGCGUAAAGCGCGCGUAGGUGGUUCGGUAAGUUGGAUGUGAAAGCCCCGGGCUCAACCUGGGAACUGCCUCCAAAACUGCAUGACUAGAGUACGGUAGAGGGUAGUGGAAUUUCCUGUGUAGCGGUGAAAUGCGUAGAUAUAGGAAGGAACACCAGUGGCGAAGGCGACUACCUGGACUGAUACUGACACUGAGGUGCGAAAGCGUGGGGAGCAAACAGGAUUAGAUACCCGGGUAGUCC
rnacentral:rRNA from 1 species